GUCUGAUUAGUGAGUCCCUUCUGUUGAUUCUCACGGGGUGGAACAGCUGUGCUUGGACACUGCCUACUGUCAGUUUGACAAUACUCUGUUCCCUGCUUCCAUUGCCUUGAAGAAAGUGAAAUUAGUAGCUGAACUCGUACACAGAUAUUUUUGAGAACUUUGAAAAUACUGUCAGAAGAGUUAGGAGAAAGUAUGGACAAAUGUACAAUAAAGAAAAUGCAAGAUGGUUUCUAUGAGGACAUCAUCAUUGAGCUAAAGAUACGUUAGCAAUGCCAAUUAAUGGCUCAGUAGGCUAAAUGAGGUUCAAGUGUAUCUAGUUCAUGAAAAAAAACAUUUAAAAAAACCUUAAGCACUAAUAUUUACAUUGACCUUUCAUUCUUGUGUUCUGUCUUAGAGUUGACACUAUAAGUAAUAGUUUGUAUCUUUUGAUUUUCAUACUGGUGGAAGGCAGCUAUUAAAAUGAUACAACUUUCAUUUCCUCAAAAUCUGAACACCAUACUGUACCAGAUUUCCUCACUACCUGGAGAUGUAUGUUACACAGAUACUAAAUCCCUUGUUCUCCACUGAAAGGAAUUAUGAGGUUUCAUACCAUCUCAACUUUUCACCCCCAUAGUCAAUAACAAGUGGUCUGGGUAUGAGAGUCUUGUUUGUCACAUAAAAGCUACCUUAAAAAAGAUCUCCAAGUACUGGUUCCAAUUCUGAUUAAUAUUGUCUUUGAAGGUCAAAUAAAGCCUAUUAAUUUUCCUGGGCUUCUUUCAUUCUACCUCCACCUUUCAAAUGAACAGACACAGAGUAUUAAAGAAAUGUUAUCUGUACUGGCCCAGGCCAGACAGAAUCACAGCAAGGAGAAUGAUGGGCACCAAGUCCCUCCCUUAGCUAAGGAGCGUUGGGCAGUCGCUAGAAGGACCAUCAGUUUUCUUCAUACUGGUGGAAGGAAACUAUUAUAAUGUUACAACUUUCAGUUCCUCAAAAUCUGAACACCAUGCUGUACCAGAUUACCUUACUACCUGGAGAUGUAUGUUACAUAGAUGCUAAAUCAGUGUGGGCCCUAGUGGGCCCACUGAAAGCCCACUAGUGUAUAAAGGCAGCAUAAACAGUGCUUGGUGGGUGAUUUAUAAAAAGGAAGAAAAGAAAGAGGAGUAAUGAUACAAAGUAGGGUAGAGCAUGAACUUGGGACAUGUGAGGAGGGCGGUAAAUAUGAUCAAAAUACAUUGAAAUUCUUAAAUAAUUUUAAAAUGAGAUUAGAAAGGAAGCAGUGUCAAAAUUUCAAAGACACUAAGGGAAAAAUUUUUUCAAUAUACCUGUAGUUUAUUUUGCAUUAUAUGUAACAAAUUUCCUGUUUAUAGGUCAGUCAUGCUGUGGGUAAUGAUCAACAUACAAUCAGAGCACAAUCAAGAAGUAUGAAUAUUAUGGCAAGCCUCUAUAUUUGAUUCAAAUUAAACUGAUGUUUUGACAAUAAACAUUUAUUAAGCUGUAAUGUUCACAAUGAUUUAAUUCAGCUCUUAGUCAGAUCUACAAAGACUUAAAAUAUCACAACCAAUGACUAAUCAGAAGGUAUCUAUCACUUUGCAACAAUAAACCUAAUUUUUUUCUGAAUAAGAUAUUUAUAGUUUGCUUCCCCUAAGAUGCAUGGACGCGCCCUCAUCCCACUCUGUUCUCACAAAAUUGCUUUCUUUUGCAUCAAACUGUAUUAUGUAAAAUUUCUAAUGCAAAUGUAUUUUUGGUUAAAUGUAUGUGCACCAUUACAUUAAUUCAAAUUCAUUGUGGACAUUUUCAUUGUGAUGUACUAAUAAAAUUCAUUGUGAAUG
rnacentral:lncRNA from 1 species